rnacentral:tRNA from 1 species
AGUUAAAAAGCUAAGAAAUAAGCCCAAUGUCUUGAAAACAUUGUGAAAGAAGUUAGAGUCUUCUAUUAACUU